AUACGUAGGGGGCGAGCGUUGUCCGGAAUGAUUGGGCGUAAAGGGCGCUUAGGCGGCGCGGUAAGUCUGGAGUGAAAGUCCUGCUUUCAAGGUGGGAAUUGCUUUGGAUACUGCCGCGCUUGAGUGCAGGAGAGGUUAUCGGAAUUCCCGGUGUAGCGGUGAAAUGCGUAGAGAUCGGGAGGAACACCAGUGGCGAAGGCGGGUAACUGGACUGCAACUGACGCUGAGGCGCGAAAGUGUGGGGAGCAAACAGGAUUAGAUACCCUGGUAGUCCACACUGUAAACGAUGAACGCUAGGUGUAAGAGGUAUCGACCCCUUUUGUGCCGGAGUCAACACAAUAAGCAUUCCGCCUGGGGAGUACGGCCGCAAGGUUGAAACUCAAAUGAAUUGACGGGG
rnacentral:rRNA from 1 species